rnacentral:tRNA from 1 species
GCGCCUGGCUUAGUGGUUAGAGUAUACGGCUCACAAUCGUAAGGUCGCGAGUUUGAUUCCCGGCGGCGCA